rnacentral:rRNA from 1 species
UGGGGAAUUUUGCGCAAUGGGCGAAAGCCUGACGCAGCAACGCCGCGUGGGUGAUGAAGGUCUUCGGAUCGUAAAACCCUGUCGUCGGGGACGAAGGUAGCUUGGUUAACAGCUGAGUUGCUUGACGGUACCCGGAGAGGAAGCCCCGGCUAACUCUGUGCCAGCAGCCGCGGUAAUACAGAGGGGGCAAGCGUUAUUCGGAAGUAUUGGGCGUAAAGGGCGCGUAGGCGGUUUUUUAAGUCAGAUGUGUAAUCCCCGAGCUCAACUUGGGAACUGCAUCUGAUACUGGAAGGCUAGAGUACUGGAGAGGGUAGUAGAAUUCCACGUGUAGCGGUGAAAUGCGUAGAGAUGUGGAGGAAUACCAGUGGCGAAGGCGGCCACCUGGACAGUAACUGACGCUGAGGCGCGAAAGUGUGGGUAGCAAACA